rnacentral:rRNA from 1 species
GACGAACGCUGGCGGCGUGCUUAACACAUGCAAGUCGAACGGUAAGGCCCUUCGGGGUACACGAGUGGCGAACGGGUGAGUAACACGUGGGUGAUCUGCCCUGCACUUCGGGAUAAGCCUGGGAAACUGGGUCUAAUACCGGAUAGGACCACUGCCUGCAUGGGUGGUGGUGGAAAGCUGUUGCGGUGUGGGAUGGGCCCGCGGGCUCUCAGCUUGUUGGUGGGGUGGUGGCCUACCAAGGCGACGACGGGUAGCCGGCCUGAGAGGGUGACCGGCCACACUGGGACUGAGAUACGGCCCAGACUCCUACGGGAGGCAGCAGUGGGGAAUAUUGCACAAUGGGCGCAAGCCUGAUGCAGCGACGCCGCGUGAGGGAUGACGGCCUUCGGGUUGUAAACCUCUUUCAGCACCGACGAAGCGCAAGUGACGGUAGGUGCAGAAGAAGGACCGGCCAACUACGUGCCAGCCGCCGCGGUAA